UACGGAGGGUGCAAACGUUACCCGGAAUCAUUGGGCGUAAAGCGUCCGCAGGCGGCGCAGUAAGUCAGAUGUUAAAUCUUGAGGCUCAACUUCAAGCUUGUAUCUGAAACUGCUGUGCUAGAGACUUGGAGAGGUGUGUGGAAUUCUACAUGUAGGGGUAAAAUCCGUAGAUAUGUAGAGGAACACCAAAAGCGAAGGCAGCACACUGGCCAAGUUCUGACGCUCAUGGACGAAAGCGUGGGGAGCAAACAGG
rnacentral:misc_RNA from 1 species